rnacentral:pre_miRNA from 1 species
AGUGGGAUUGCUGGGUCAUAUGGGAAGUAUAUGUUUAACUUUUUAAGAAACUGCCAAAUUGUUUUCUAGAAUGACUUCAUCAUUUUUCAUUCCCCUUAGCAAU